UCUCACCUACGGGACGCAGCAGUGGGGAAUAUUGCACAAUGGGGGAAACCCUGAUGCAGCAACGCCGCGUGAAGGAAGACGGUUUUCGGAUUGUAAACUUCUGUUCUUAGUGAAGAAGAAUGACGGUAGCUAAGGAGCAAGCCACGGCUAACUACGUGCCAGCAGCCGCAGUAAUACGUAGGUGGCAAGCGUUGUCCGGAAUUACUGGGUGUAAAGGGAGCGCAGGCGGGAAGCCAAGUCAGCUGUUCAAACUACGGGCUUACCUUGUAGGCUGCAGUUGAAACUGGUUUUCUUGAGGGAAGGAG
rnacentral:rRNA from 1 species